AUAGAAGUUUCUGUUCUUUUCUACUGCAACGGUUCAAUUCCCAAUGAUAAAGAUCAAAGGACCCGUGAAUGAAGAUAUUAAAACUUGAAGCCACAAAGUUACAUCAAUUUUUGAGUCAACUUUCAUCUAGAGGUUAUCAAACAUCAUUGUACAGUGAAUUUAUAGUGCUAUCAACACAGAGGUGCUGCCAUGGGACUCCUUUGAUGUGGAUAUGAGAAGAUAAAUUCACCAAUAAUCAAGGGACUAGGGAUAAGCAUAUAAGGCUGGAUGCGGUUGACAAGGAGUUGAAUAUUGAUGAAAUUAGAGACAUAACUUGGAAAGAAGAUAACAACAACAAAGAAGAGGAAUUUGAAACCAACUUUGAAAUCGAUGACGGAGACGAGACAGACAAUCUGAUAGUACAAAAUGAAGUAGAUGCAGUUGUAAACCAACAUCCCUUUGGUAUUCUGUCUUUUAUGUGAGCUCUAGAUCUAGCAACCAUGCAUGCCACAAAAUUUUCUGAGUAUGCGAAUAUGGGUGAAGGCAAUGUUGUGGUAGAAGUAAGUGAGAUUAGUAUCCGAAUGAAAUUUGGUUAUAGAGAGUCGAUGAUCUCUGCAAUCAAAAGCUACACUAUCUCUAAAGGAAUUGAUUAUACUGUGUAUGAGUCAGUGCCACAAACAUUCUACACAACAUGCAAGGGGUAUGGUAGAGGAUGUGAUUGGCUUAUCUAAGCUAACUUGAUUCGAAAGAAAAGUUGUUAGAAGAUCAAGAGAUACAAAGGCAAACACACAUGUACCAUGGGGAUGAUUUGACAAUAUCAUGCCAAGUUGGACAUAAACAUGAUUGUAGAUGAUAUCAGACCAUUGGUUGAAGCAGACCAAUCGAUAAAGGUGAAAUCUAUUGUUGUAGAAGUUCAAUCCAGGUUCAACGACACUGUAAGUUACCGCAAGGCUUAGUUGGCAAAGCUAAAGUCUGUCACAAAAAUUUUCAGUGAUUGGGAAGUUUCCUACCAAACUUUGCUAGUCUGGUGUAAAGCAAUGUGUGCCACAAUGUUAAUGUCUCAUGUUCAAAUAAAAACUCUUCUUGUUUAUCA